rnacentral:rRNA from 1 species
GACGAACGCUGGCGGCGUGCUUAACACAUGCAAGUCGAACGGAAAGGCCUGCUUUCCCUUGUGGAUUGCGGGUACUCGAGUGGCGAACGGGUGAGUAACACGUGAGUGAUCUGCCCCCAACUUGGGUAUAAGCCUGGGAAACUGGGUCUAAUUCCCGAUAGGACUGCAGGGUGGUGCCUGUGGUGGAAAACGAUUUUCUAGUGGUUGGGGAUGAGCUCGCGGCCUAUCAGCUUGUUGGUGGGGUAAUGGCCUACCAAGGCGGCGACGGGUAGCCGGCCUGAGAGGGUGGACGGCCACAUUGAGACUGAGAUACGGCCCAGACUCCGACGGGAGGCAGCAGUGGGGAAUAUUGCACAAUGAGCGGAAGCCUGAUGCAGCGACGCCGCGUGGGGGAUGACGGCCUUCGGGGUGUAAACUCCUUUCGACCGCGAGGAAGCCACCUGGUUGGAAGGGUGGUGACGGUAGUGGUAGAAGAAGCACCGGCUAACUACGUG